AAAGAAGCUUAAAUUUUAGAAACCAAAUAAGCCUCAACUCGCCUCAGUAAGAAUAGACUGUGUAACACUGCGACUAACAAUUUACAUAAAGAUUCAACAAUAAUCAUGAAAAAAGGUAAGAUAAACAGUGACUUCCAUAAAAAACAUGAAAGGCAUAAUGUUACUGUAGAUAGCUGCUUUUGUUUAGAAAGUUAAAGAUGUUUCGAGAAAGUAAGAACAAGGAAAGUAGGUAACACAAACAAACAGCCAAAAUUACCAAAGUUUACCAGAUAAUUCAAGCACUAGAUACAAAGUAAUAACACAUCCAAGUGGAGCAACAUUGACACAGCGUUUUAUUUUAAAGAUUUUUUUAUUUGUUUUUCUAUCUUAUCUUAUUUUUGGCUAUUCACUGUUGAAAAGAGACAGAAAAAGCAUUGAACUUCUUAAGGAAGUCGAAGGAAAAGUUUACCUUUUCAAAUUAGUAUCUAAAGGAUGGUUGACUUUUCAAACUCAACCCAAUCUCAACUAAUUUACUCGAGAUGUUUUAGAUUCAUCAAUUCGGAUCACUUCAAUUUAAAUUUGAUUCCCUUUCUUCUCAAUGUUUAACAUUUUAUUGACCAUUUAUAAUAGCAAAGUGUAAAUAAUUGUUCACAAUGGUUUAGUUAAAGGGUAUAAUAAAAACAAAAUGCAAUUUAAGUUUAUUAUAAUACAAAAAAGCAAUCAUUGGUAAUGUAUUAACAAAUUAGUUAUUGGAAUAAGAUAUAAAUUGUAUUUUGAAGAGCAGUUUUCACUAAAUAGCAAAAUUGGAUUAUUCAACCAUCCUGGCUGGCUUAAGAAAAUUAAUUGACUUGAAAUUGUUGAAAACACUUGAAAUGGAUUGAAUAGUUGAAUGGAUUCAAGAGAAGAGAUUCUUAAUGUUCCAAUAAUUGGCUGUGUGUUUCUUCAAUAACUGCUUUAGUAUUUAAAAAUAAUAAUCAAUUUAAUAAUUGCAAUAAAAAUGCUUCUUUUUUAUCAAAGGAUAAGUUAAUUCUUGUGUUUUUCAACUCCGUUUGAUAUUAAUCGUCCCAAUUAAGUAAACGGAUUGUCUCAAAUUAAUCAGAUAUAUUCUCUCUUGUAAUUUCAAGCAUAAUGUUUCCAAUGAUUAAAAUCACUUAGUGACCAAACCAUUGCGUGCAGCUAAAUACAGAUUCCAAGUCGUAUUAUCAUUAUAACGCUUUCCAUGAUCUUCAUUGAUCUUCAUUUACACAUGAACUUAUUGAAUCUUUUUAAUUUUUCUUCUGAACAUGAUAAUAACGGUCAUCAUCUUAAUCCCAUCUCAGGUUCCAGUAUUGAAUUAUUUUAGAGGUUUGGCUUUUUGAUCCUUCUUUUGGUGAAUCUUUUGAAAGCGAUGAAGGUAAUUGAUAAUCAGUUGUAUUACUUGUUUUCAGUGAGAAAAAGUUCUUGAACUUGAGA